CCCCCUGUAUUCAGCACUGGUGAGACCACGUGUUGAAUUCUGUCCAAUCCUCUCCACAAAAAAGACAUUGAGGGGCUGGAGGAUAUCCAGAGAAGAUCAAGGGAACUGGUGAAGGGUCUGGAGGCCCAGCCUCACAAGGAAUGGCUGAGGGAGCUGGGUUGUGUAGCCUGGAGAAAAAGAGGAUGAGGGAAGAUCUUACUCCUCUCUACAACUACCAGAAAGAAGGUUGCAGUUAAGUGGGAGUAGGCUCUUCUCCCAGAAAACAGGAAAUAGGACAAGAGGAAAUGGCCUCCGUCACAUCAAGAAAGUUUUAGGUUGGAUAUUAGGAAAAUUUUUUUGAUAGAAGAUUUACCAAGCACUGGAACAGGCUGUUAAGGGACUGAGAUAUAUGAAGGUAUUUAGAAGUCUUAUAAAUUAGGUACUUAGGGUAUGGUUAAAUGGUAGACUCGGCAGUGGUGGGUUAACUGUUAACUUCAUGAUUUUAAAGGUUUUUCCCAACUUAAAUGAUUCUAUUAUUCUAUAUCCUACUGCUUCAACCAUUUUUGGCACCACAACUUCAGGACCCAAAUUAAUGAACUUUAGAAGAAAGAAAGUGAAGGCUAAAUAAAGCUGAGUUGUCAUGAGAUACAGGCUAAGGCCAGCUGACUGCUACAGUACAAGUCCUGGCAGGAGGCUGCUGCAGCACAGGUUUCCCAUGGGGUCACAGCCUCCUUCAGGCAUCCACCUGCUCUGGUGUGGGCUCCUGCACAGGCUCUGGGUGUAUUUCUGCUCCACUAUGGAUCUCCCU